rnacentral:rRNA from 1 species
AGAGUUUGAUCCUGGCUCAGAAUCAACGCUGGCGGCGUGCCUAACACAUGCAAGUCGCACGAGAAAGGGUAGCAAUACCUGAGUAAAGUGGCGCACGGGUGAGUAACACGUGAAUUAUCUACCUCCGAGUGGGGAAUAACUGAGAGAAAUCUUAGCUAAUACCGCAUAACACUUACGAGUCAAAGCAGCAAUGCGCUUGGAGAGGAGUUCGCGGCAGAUUAGUUAGUUGGCGGGGUAAUGGCCCACCAAGACGAUGAUCUGUAUCCGGCCUGAGAGGGCGCACGGACACACUGGAACUGAAACACGGUCCAGACUCCUACGGGAGGCAGCAGUGGGGAAUUUUGCGCAAUGGGGGAAACCCUGACGCAGCAACGCCGCGUGGAGGAUGAAAUCCCUUGGGAUGUAAACUCCUUUCGAUAGGGAAGAUUAUGACGGUACCUAUAGAAGAAGCCCCGGCUAACUUCGUGCCAGCCGCCGCGGUAAUUC